rnacentral:rRNA from 1 species
CCUACGGGAGGCAGCAGUGGGGAAUAUUGGACAAUGGGCGAAAGCCUGAUCCAGCAAUGCCGCGUGUGAAGAAGGCCUUCGGGUUGUAAAGCACUUUAGGCAGGGAAGAAAAAAUCGGCGAUAACAUCGCCGAUCUUGACGGUACCUGAGGAAUAAGCACCGGCUAACUCUGUGCCAGCAGCCGCGGUAAUACAGAGGGUGCAAGCGUUAAUCGGAUUUACUGGGCGUAAAGCGUGUGUAGGUGGUUGGAAAAGUCGAUUGUGAAAUCCCUGGGCUCAACCCGGGAACUGCUUUCGGGACUGUCUGACUAGAAUUCGGUAGAGGGAGGCGGAACUCCAGGUGUAGCGGUGAAAUGCGUAGAUAUCUGGAAGAACACCAAUGGCGAAGGCAACCUCCUGGGCCUGAAUUGACACUGAGACACGAAAGCGUGGGGAUCAAACAGGAUUAGAUACCCUGGUAGUCCACGCCGUAAACGAUGAGAACUUGACGUCGGUUUGCUCUGCGAAUCGGUGUCGUAGCUAACGCGAUAAGUUCUCCGCCUGGGGAGUACGGCCGCAAGGUUGAACUUACGAAAGAAGUUGACGCGUGAGAGUCGACGAGGACACCGACGGAGGGUAGUUAGG